rnacentral:rRNA from 1 species
UACGUAGGGUGCAAGCGUUAAUCGUAAUUACUGGGCGUAAAGCGUGCGUAGGCGGUUGUGCAAGUCAGAUGUGAAAUCCCCGGGCUUAACCUGGGAACUGCAUUUGUGACUGCAUGGCUAGAGUGUGUCAGAGGGAGGUGGAAUUCCACGUGUAGCAGUGAAAUGCGUAGAUAUGUGGAGGAAUACCGAUGGCGAAGGCAGCCUCCUGGGAUAACACUGACGCUCAUGCACGAAAGCGUGGGGAGCAAACAGG